rnacentral:rRNA from 1 species
UACGAAGGGGGCUAGCGUUGUUCGGAUUUACUGGGCGUAAAGCGCACGUAGGCGGCUUGUUAAGUCGGGGGUGAAAUCCUGGAGCUCAACUUCAGAAUUGCCUUCGAUACUGGCUUUCUAGAGGCUGGAAGAGGUUAGUGGAAUUCCCAGUGUAGAGGUGAAAUUCGUAGAUAUUGGGAAGAACACCAGUGGCGAAGGCGGCUAACUGGUCCAGAUCUGACGCUGAGGUGCGAAAGCGUGGGGAGCAAACAGG